GACGAACGCUGGCGGCGUGCUUAACACAUGCAAGUCGAACGGAAAGGCCCUGCUCUUGUGGGGUGCUCGAGUGGCGAACGGGUGAGUAACACGUGAGUAACCUGCCCUUGACUUUGGGAUAACUUCAGGAAACUGGGGCUAAUACCGGAUAGGAGCUCCUGCAGCAUGGUGGGGGUUGGAAAGUGUCGGCGGUUGGGGAUGGACUCGAGGCUUAUCCGCUUGUUGGUGGGGUAGUGGCUUACAAAGGCUUUGACGGGUAGCCGGCCUGAGAGGGGGACCGGCCACAAUGGGCCUGAGAUACGGCCCAGACGCCUACGGGAGGCAGCAGUGGAGAAUAUUGCACAAUGGGCGGAAGCCUGAUGCAACAACGCCGCGUGCGGGAUGACGGCCUUCGGGUUGUAAACCGCUUUCGCCUGUGACGAAGCGGGAGUGACGGUAAUGGGUAAAGAAGCACCGGCUAACUACGUG
rnacentral:rRNA from 1 species